rnacentral:rRNA from 1 species
AUGACAUUUGUGGAGGUCUGUGAAAACAAAUUGAUGCUCCAAAAUGAUUAUGUUUUUCCUGUUCUCAACGAAUGUCAUUCCAUCAGAAAAUUUUUGUAUGCUGGUAAAACAAUCAUCAAUGUUUAUCACAAAGAGAUCAGAUUUUUCUUUUUGGAUUUUACCGUUCAUACGGGUGCAUUUGAGCUCGCGAUCAGACUUUUUUUUUAUUUUACCGUUCAUACCGGUGCAUCUGAGCUCGCGAUCAGACAUUUAUUUUGGAUUUUUUUUUCUGGAGCGUGCUUUUCGUGUGCUUCAAUCUUGAUAGGCCAUAGUUCGACACUCUGCACUGACACGGAGCACCCACAAGCUUUUGGAGGUGAUGACUGCUUAUGUGAUCAUGCACAACCGUGGAGGAUGACCGUGAUGACAUGA